UGCCAGCAGCCGCGGUAAUACGUAGGAUCCAAGCGUUGUCCGGAAUUACUGGGUGUAAAGGGUGCGUAGGCGGGCUUGUGCGUCAGGGGUUAAAUCCCACGGCUUAACCGUGGAGCUGCCCUUGAUACGGCAAGUCUUGAGUGUGAGAGAGGAUGGUAGAAUUCCUGGUGUAGCGGUGAAAUGCGUAGAUAUCAGGAGGAAUACCAGUGGCGAAGGCGGCCAUCUGGCUCACUACUGACGCUGAGGCACGAAAGCGUGGGGAGCGAACAGGAUUAGAUA
rnacentral:rRNA from 1 species